UCAGCACCACGCUGCCAAUCACUGCCAGCACGAUCGUCACGGCACUGGGGGCUGAGCUGCACUCUGGAAACGAGGGGCAGAAGGAUGAAAAUGUGUCCUCGAAGAGGGUGUGUUUCAAGACACUUCUUCACCAGAGCAAGUCUUAUGGUGCAGGAUUUCACCCUGGACUUCAACUUCCUGGAACCCUCUGAGCUUACAUGUUCUCUAUAAAGCAGGUUUGUGAAGCCAAAAGACAUUAAUUACAUUCUCCAAACAUAACAAGAGAUGUUUUCUUCUGUCCCCAUCCCUGAAAUAAGACAGGCUUAGAUAUGUAAAAGAUCCAGAUCAAACUGAGAAAUUAAAUGUUCCCUCUGAAUUUGAUAA